AAUCUUCCACAAUGGACGGAAGUCCGAUGGAGCAACGCAGCGUGAGCGAAGAAGGUUUUCGGAUCGUAAAGCACUGUUGUAAGGGAAGAACACGUACGGGAGUAACUGCCCGUACCUUGACGAUACCUUACCAGAUAGCCACGGCUAACUACGUGCCAGCAGCCGCGGUAAUACGUAGGUGGCAAGCGUUGUCCGGAAUUAUUGGGCGUAAAGCGCGCGCAGGCGGUCCUUUAAGUCUGGUGUGAAAGCCCACGGCUCAACCGUGGAGGGUCAUUGGAAACUGGAGGACUUGAGUACAGAAGAGGAAAGCGGAAUUCCACGUGUAGCGGUGAAAUGCGUAGAGAUGUGGAGGAACACCAGUGGCGAAGGCGGCUUUCUGGUCUGUAACUGACGCUGAGGCGCGAAAGCGUGGGGAGCAAACA
rnacentral:rRNA from 1 species